AUCAAGGUCAAACAAUAGAAAACAGAAGCAAAAUGAAGAUUAGAAGUCAAGAAACAAAUAAAAUAUUUUUGGCAUUUUUAAUAUUUAAAAUAAAACUUGAAUUAAAAUAAUAAAGAAAGGUCAAACUUCAAAUUCACUUCAAAUCAACUUUGAAAAGUCCAAGUGAAUUAUCCCAAGUUCAACAAGGUCAAACAAAGUUUGACAAAAAAUUUCAGCAUUUUUAAAAGUCAGAAACUAUUUUAAAUCAAUUAAAA
rnacentral:lncRNA from 1 species